rnacentral:lncRNA from 1 species
AAAAAGAAAGAACAAAAAAGAAAGGAAAUAAAACAAUAAAAAAAAGCCCUAAAGAAAACAAAAAUAAAAUAAAAAAGGCCCAAAUGAGAUGCACCAAACAGUAAAGUCUGGGAGGUGUAAGGAGCAACAGAAAGAGGCUCCAAAAUGCUAAAUAAGCCAAUGACGCUAAGGGAGAUCACAUGGUCUCCUAGUCAAACCGUUGACUCGGGGCUUCAAUUAUGACCAUUAGAUAUGGAUAUCUGAUUUGGUCCAUUAAUCAUAAAGGAAGAAAAAUGCAGGAGCACGCGAGCUGCUGUGAGACGC